rnacentral:rRNA from 1 species
UACGUAGGCAGCAAGCGUUGUUCGGAGUUACUGGGCGUAAAGGGUGUGUAGGCGGUUGGGUAAGUGUGGUGUGAAAUCUCCCGGCUCAACUGGGAGGGUGCGCUACAAACUGUCUGACUAGAGUGCGGGAUGGGAAAGUGGAAUUCCUGGUGUAGCGGUGAAAUGCGUAGAUAUCAGGAGGAACACCGGUGGUGUAGACGGCUUUCUGGACCGUAACUGACGCUGAUACACGAAAGCGUGGGUAGCAAACAGG